rnacentral:lncRNA from 1 species
GAGCUGAACAGCCUAUUUUUAAACUACGCCUUUGUCAUCAAUAUUUUUUCGAUUGUUUUUCCUGUCACUACAUUUGACAUUUUAUUAAGUUAUCGGUUCAUCAGUAUAUGUCCACCAUCUCAAACUUCAAAAUGGACAUCUGAAACUAUUUCCAUGAGCGCUAACAAGAGUGAAAUAAUGAUCAGAAGUGGAUGAAUCCUAUUCAGUAAUUUAAUGAGCUUUUACAGUGAUAGAAAUAUAGUCAAUUUCCUCUGGAAAAUAUGUUAGUUAUCAUCAAAUACUGAUCAUCUAGAUACUUGUACACAACAUCCUUACACAUCUAUAAUCAGUACACAUCAGUAGUCUGGAAGCAAUUGAAAACUAGACAUCUAACUUUCUAAAGGACACCUCCUUUUUCUUACGCCACUUCUCACUUUCUUUGGAAAGUACGAAGGAUGAAGGUGUGCUGGGAGUUAUUGGUUUCAUCAGCAACAUGGCUCUCGAUGACUGCUCGGAGAGCCACUCCCAUCAUGGCCUCCGCCGGUAGGAGUUCAACCGCCAACUCCAGGCGCAUCAGCAAUGAGGGAUGAUACUCUGUUAAGGCAGCAUGGGUCAUUAAUGGCACCAGGAAUUCACGAUGUCAGUAAACAGAAAAUCUCCCCAAGAGGGGUAGCUGUUGAGGCGGAGAUAACACCAUGUCCAAUUCUUAGCCCAAGUAGUAUGCACGAGCCUCCGGAAUCGCCAUUUGUUCCAUUGUUUGAAAGUACCCACAUUCAUCAUGGCAUUCACCCAGAAGCAGCUAUGCCAGUGCGUGACACAAUGCCUCGAAGAGAGCAGUCACCACCAGCAACUGGACCAUUCCAGUUUGCCGUUGAGGCUGAGAUUCACUUUGCUCCAGUCAGCCCACCGCAAGAUGCCUCUGCAGCAGCAGGAGAGGCACCACAGGUCUGAAAAUAAUGUUUAUAAAACGUUACAUGAAAUUUUUUCUAUCUACUCUCACUUAACAUCAGUCAUAAUAUUUAUCAAUGGUUAAAACAUUCGGGGUAAAUAACAGAAAAUAUUACCCUAGUAGCAGAAAGACGUAAAAUUUACAAAAAAAAAAUUUCAAAAAAAAUUUGUAAAGUAGACCAAAAGUGAAAUGCCAAUGUAGUCUUUUUCACAAGAAUACUUCGUAAAAAGCACGAGGUUUUUUACGAAAAAAGAUAGAGUUUCUUUACGUAAAAAGCUAUGGGCACAAAAACUUGUGCUUUCUAAAAUUGAUUAAAAUGAUAAAUCUUCAAGAAAAAAUAGACUUUUUACAUAUCUGGAUCUGUCGUCAAUUAAUUCUUCUUGAGAUCAACUUUCAAAUUAUUAUCUAGCUGUUGGGAAUUGAACCUGAGACCUAACUAUCAGGAAUCAAACACGCCACCUACCGUGGCUUCUGUAUGAGUGAAUAUUUUUAUUGUUGAAUAUGCAUGAGAGAAAAUUGCUGAAUAUAUUUUGAAUUUGGGAAAACUGGAUAAGGGCAAAAAAAGAUAUUUAUCAUGGAUAUUUUAGAGAUGGUGUACCUACUUUCCACAGUAUCUUAGGUUGCGUGCGCAGUAUACUAAGAAUGUUUAAUCAUGUUAAGACAAUGAGACAUGAAUGCAUAGUAUCCAAGAAUGCAUCAAGCAUGCUACCAAUUGUGUAUAGCACGGGGUUUAUGGGGGGAGCCGUGUGUGAGGCCUGAGGUGGGUUUACCUGAGAUAAAGAAAGCAAGGAUGUCCUAGCAGUCGUUCAGGUAACAAGCACAAGACAUGGGAAUAGUUAAUGCUGAAAGCGACGUAGCCUCUAUGCCUUUCUUGCAACAGAUCUGGAUUGAUAAACUUUCCCUAUUGAAUCUCCCAUGCAGAAGGAAACAGCAUUAGCGGUCCUCUGCUCCCAUCCAAUUUUCCUUAUCCUAGAUUUUGCCCCCUGUGUGUUUCAGCAAUAGUCCAGCCGUUCGCUUUGAAAUAUAAGCAAUAAGAAAUAUAAUAAUUGGUGCCCCUGAUAUAGCUUUUCCUCGUAUAAAUAAUUUAAGAUUUUGGCUUCUUGUACCUUCACUAACCUCGAGUUAGGUACUAUGGCCAACAGCUGGGGCGGUUGGGCUUUAUCCUUAUUCUUAUUCUUAAAAGUCUUUAUGGGACAUUAGAAUUUUUUGCGUAAUUUCCUUGUAUGUAAUAAAAACUAUUCAAAGGUUUUUCCUGUUUGGUCAAUUUAGCGAAUUUUCAGUAUCUUUAUUCUCCCCCAAUUUUUUGGUUUCCGUAACCAAAAAUUUACAUAAAAAAUAGAUGCUCGAAGAGUUAAAAAAGAAAAAUAGUGAUUUUUUAUGUGAAAAAGUGAGAAAAAAAUUCAGUCACAACAGUUUUGUACAUAAAAAAUCGUAGUUUCAUAACGAAGAAAAUCUGUCUUCCUUGAAUUUCUCUCUGUCCUUUUUUUUACUUACAAAAACUACGAUUUUUUACAUAAAGAUUUCAGUUCAAUUCCCCAAUUUUUUUUUUCUUUAAUCUCACAUUUUUUACAUUAUGUUCUUGGACUCUGAUUUUUUACGAGUCCUUUCACGUAUAUCUUUCGUACGAGUAAAAUUUACCAGUUUUAAUUUUUUUUUUUUUUUUUUUUUUACGAAUUGCAGUAUAAGAUACGCUACUAGGGUAGGGUAUUCAUCCAUAAUUAAUUAUAGCUGAAUUUUUUUGUAGUUGUAAGGAUUCAUACUUGGAAUUUUUUAGCAAAAAUUUCCGGAAAAUCAGGAAGCAAGUUUUGUAAAAACAGGUUUAGAUUUAUAGUGUGCCAUUUCUGAAGCUCAAAAUUGUAAAUCACUAAAGCUGUCAAUUGUAAGCUUAUAUACUUUAGUUACAAAGUAGGACAAAACUUGUCGUGUGACAAUGGCAAUUGUCUGAACUGAAAAGUUAGUUAUCAAGAAAGUAGAGGCGGGUCUACACCAGUUGGUUCCUUAGAUACUCUGAUAAAUUCGUGAUUGCUCCUCAUGUAGUUGGCUUUGUUUCUCUUAAUGGCCUUUAAAAUCUAGGUAAACUUUGCAUCUUUGAAACCCACAGAUUUCGAGGAUUUAGAAAAUGCGGUUUCUAAAGAAUCACUGUUCAUCAGAAUUUCAAUUCAAUGUGUGUUCACAUUCCUCACCCAUCAAGGAAGCGGACAUCAAAUAUUGGGCAAAUACCCCUAAAAAAUGCUUUAUCAAUUUUGUUGGGUGUUGAACAGAAUCCUGUCCCUUACUGAAUCUUGUGUCAAAUUUUUUCUCGCAUUUUAUUAAUUUGCAUUUAUUGUAAUUUAACAGCCAUCGGUCGUGGAAGAUGAAGCUCAAAGCAUGCAGACUGAAGCUGUACCUCCAGAUGAAGAGAGAAUAUUUGCCGUUCCUGAACCAGGAGUACAAAUUACUCCCGAAUCUGAAAUCCACGCCGCUCCAGAGGCAGGAAUUCAUCUUGGAACAGAACAAUCUGCAGCGCCUGAGCCCCUGCAGCAGUCGCCUGAAGAGGAUAUACAUGUUUUUCCUGCCGAAAGACAGGAAGAACCUGAAAGACACCCAACAGGUCCUGAGGUGAGUUUUCAAUGUAAAGAAGUCUUCAAAGUAAAUUAAUAGUGCAGUGUGGAUUAUCAAAUGUAUUAUUCAUAAUUUUCUCAACAAAUUGAGUUUCAGUUUCAAGGGCAUGGUGCAAUUGCAUGGCUUGUUUUAAUAAUUUGAACAUGUUUUAUUGCAGCUAGUAGGAGAAAAUUUAAAAACACCUUUAUUUUUACUGGAAAAACUGAGUAACAACAAUAAAUCUUUCUCUGGCAUUUUUGAAAGAAAUACGAAACGACCCAUUCAAUAAUGAAAAUAGAGAAAAAAUAGUUACUGAAUUUAGGAUGUAAACGAUUUCUUAUUACUUCAUUAAUUCAUACGAAUGACUACUCAGCAUUCCCUUCCAGAAUUUGAAUUUAAUUUUCUUCAUCAUACCCGAAAUAUUCUGUGAAACAACGAAGGAAAUGUGUUUUUCUUAGAACAAUAAUUACACAGCCCUCCGUUUUUUUGGUCGUGUCGUGUUGCAUGGCAUGUCUUGAUUGGUUCUGAUGUAUUUUUUAGCUCUGAAUUCGGGAAAAAUAUCAAAAAAAUUCCAUCACGUCAGAAUUUUCUGCAAAUUAAAAAC